rnacentral:lncRNA from 1 species
UGUAUUAAAGCUUAGCUUUAUACUUAGGACUAUCAACAUAAUAUCAAUGAUUAGUAUAGAAGGCGAGACAUUUCAGCGUGUGCACUCUUGUGUUUUUAUUUCAUGAACAGCGUUUUGAUCAGAUGUAAGUUAUUGAAAUCACUAUUGCUCAAAUGAAAAAAAGAUUGAUUCAAGUUCCUGUUGAGAAAUUUGAGCUUCAAUAUCUGACUAAAGAAAUAAAAAAAAAUUGAAUUGAACACUUGCUAGAAAAACAAUGGUUAACUCUGCUAUGUUACAAAGGGAAAUUCUUU